rnacentral:rRNA from 1 species
UGGGGAAUUUUGGACAAUGGGCGCAAGCCUGAUCCAGCCAUGCCGCGUGCGGGAAGAAGGCCUUCGGGUUGUAAACCGCUUUUGUCAGGGAAGAAAUCUUCUGAGUUAAUACCUCGGGAGGAUGACGGUACCUGAAGAAUAAGCACCGGCUAACUACGUGCCAGCAGCCGCGGUAAUACGUAGGGUGCAAGCGUUAAUCGGAAUUACUGGGCGUAAAGCGUGCGCAGGCGGUUUUGUAAGACAGAGGUGAAAUCCCCGGGCUCAACCUGGGAACUGCCUUUGUGACUGCAAGGCUUGAGUGCGGCAGAGGGGGGAUGGAAUUCCGCGUGUAGCAGUGAAAUGCGUAGAUAUGCGGAGGAACACCGAUGGCGAAGGCAAUCCCCUGGGCCUGCACUGACGCUCAUGCACGAAAGCGUGGGGAGCAAACAGGAUUAGAUACCCUGGUAGUCCACGCCCUAAACGAUGUCAACUGGUUGUUGGGAAGGUUCCUUCUCAGUAACGUAGCUAACGCGU